GGGUGUGUGGCUCAGUGGUAGAGCGCCUUCCUGAUAAGAAGGAGGUCCCAGGUUCGAUCCCUGGCACACCCA
rfam:Candidatus Roizmanbacteria bacterium RIFCSPLOWO2_01_FTLL_45_11 rifcsplowo2_01_scaffold_26340, whole genome shotgun sequence.